rnacentral:rRNA from 1 species
CAGCAGUGAGGAAGGUGGAGUCGUUAAUAGCGGCCUCAUUUGACGUUAGCUGCAGAAGAAGCACCGGCUAACUCCGUGCCAGCAGCCGCGGUAAUACGGAGGGUGCGAGCGUUAAUCGGAAUUACUGGGCGUAAAGACGCAUGCAGGUGGUUUGUUAAGUCAGAUGUGAAAGACCCGGGGCGUCAACCUCGGAAUUGCAUUUGUAAACUAGGCAGACUAGAGUACUGUAGAGGGGGGUAGGAAUUUCAGGUGUAGCGGUGAAAUGCGUAGAGAUCUGAAGGAAUACCGGUGGCGAAGGCGGCCCCCUCGGACAGAUACUGACACUCAGAUGCGAAAGCGUGGGGAGCAAACAGGAUUAGAUACCCCUGGUAG